AUGCCAAAAGUUUGUAAUAUUGACAGUUGGUUUCAGAAUGCCGUUACACCGGGAAUUGAAGAACUCACCGUGGAACUAUCUUCAAAGUCAGGAAUAUAUUACAACUUUCCGUGGUCACUUUUAGCUAAUGAGAGCGGAAACACGAUUCGGUAUCUAAAUAUUUCUCGUUGUGCUUUCUCUCCCACCAGCGGGUUAUGCUUUAAAAGCCUGUCAAGACUCGACCUGAGUGAUGUUGAUAUCACAGGGGACCAAUUGGGGUCCCUUCUUCACAAUUCUUUUGCUUUGCAACGGAUGCAACUCAAGUUUUGCAAUAAGAUAAUUUGCUUGAAAAUACCAUUUCAUCUACAACAACUCAGAUAUCUGGAUGUGUUUGACGGCGGCAGGAUGCUGCGGGUUAUAGAGGUAGAAGCUCCAAACCUCUCUAAUUUCCAGUUUAGGGGACAUCGUCAAGUACAACUAUCAUUUGGAGUAGGAUUACAAUUCAAGAAUUUCGACUUGUCCUUUCCUGGUGUUCUCAGCUAUGUUUGUGCUGAUUUUCCGUCUAGCUUGCGCUAUGUUGAAGCUCUUUCUCUAGGUUCAUGUCAUGAGAUGAUUGAUACACCAGUUUUACCUAGCAAAUUCUUACAUCUCAAGCACUUGAAUGUUGAUCUUAGUACACUGACAUUUCCCUCGACCUAUGACUACUGUUCUUUGAUAUCCCUUUUUGAUGCUUCUCCUUCUUUGGAGACCCUUGUCAUGAAUGUUUUGCAGAAAAAGAUGUUGCAUGAAUCAAUCGUGGGAGAUACAUCACAUUUGAGGCAGAUGCCAGGGCACCGCCAUGAUAGCCUCAAGACAGUGAAGAUUAUUGGUUUCUCCUCUGCAAAGAGCUUAGUAGAGCUAACAUGCCAUAUCAUUGAGAAUACAACGUCACUUGAGGGCCUUACAUUGGACACCACAACAGGACAUCCUUUGUAUAGUUGUUUAACCAACAAUAUUGGAAAGUGCAUGCUGUUGCACGGGGAUUUUAUGGUGGAAGUUCGUCAAGGGCUCUUGGCUAUCAGGACAUAUGUUGAGCCAAAAGUUCCUUCCAGAGUCAAGCUAAAUGUUGUGGAGCCUUGCCGCCGAUGCCAUGAUCAACCACUGAUCAUAUGUUGA
rnacentral:rRNA from 1 species